rnacentral:sRNA from 1 species
UUGUUUCUUCAUCAUCACCUACUUCAAUCAAAAAACAUUCCA